rnacentral:rRNA from 1 species
CGUACACUCCUACGGGAGGCAGCAGUGAGGAAUAUUGGACAAUGGGUGGAAGCCUGAUCCAGCCAUCCCGCGUGCAGGAAGACGGCCCUAUGGGUUGUAAACUGCUUUUAUCUGGGGAUAAACCUACUUACGUGUAAGUAGCUGAAGGUACCAGAAGAAUAAGCACCGGCUAACUCCGUGCCAGCAGCCGCGGUAAUACGGAGGGUGCAAGCGUUAUCCGGAUUUAUUGGGUUUAAAGGGUCCGUAGGCGGACUGAUAAGUCAGUGGUGAAAUCCGACAGCUUAACUGUCGAACUGCCAUUGAUACUGUUAGUCUUGAGUAAGGUUGAAGUGGCUGGAAUAAGUAGUGUAGCGGUGAAAUGCAUAGAUAUUACUUAGAACACCAAUUGCGAAGGCAGGUCACUAAGUCUUAACUGACGCUGAUGGACGAAAGCGUGGGGAGCGAACAGGAUUAGAAACCCGGGUAGUCCCAUGA